rnacentral:rRNA from 1 species
CCUACGGGAGGCAGCAGUGAGGAAUAUUGGUCAAUGGACGAGAGUCUGAACCAGCCAAGUAGCGUGAAGGAUGACUGCCCUAUGGGUUGUAAACUUCUUUUAUAAAGGAAUACAACGAGGCACGUGUGCCUUUGUGCAUGUACUUUAUGAAUAAGGCUCGGCUAACUCCGUGCCAGCAGCCGCGGUAAUACGGAGGAUACGGGCGUUGUCCGGAUUUAUUGGGUUUAAAGGGAACGUAGAUUGGUUGUUAGGUCAGUUGUGAAGGUUUUGGGCUCAACCGUACAAUUGCAUUUGAUACGGGCAGUCUUGAGUUCAGUUGCGGUAAGCGGAAUUCGUGGUGUAGCGGUGAAAUGCGUAGAUAUCACGAAGAACCCCGAUUGCGAAGGCAGCUUACUAAACUGUGACUGACAUUGAGGCUCGAAAGUGUGGGUAUCAAACAGGAUUAGAUACCCGAGUAGUC